rnacentral:lncRNA from 1 species
GUCUUAACAAACAGCCCCUUGCCUCAUGAUAGGGACAAAUGCCUUGUGGUUAAUUGUCUUAUUUUGGGAUUUGCAGAAGUCAUUUCUACAAAGGCUAUGAAGCAGAAUGCUAGUGUGUUCCUGUCUAAGCUGCAAAACAAGAUGAUAGUGCUGUUUUGUUUUAUCUGUCCUGACUCCAUAUUUUUGGGGGGAACCCUGGCUCUCACUACAUAACUGUCCAACCAACUCCUGACACUAGACUGUGGAAGCACUGGGCCUAUGCAGCCCAGUCCUAUACUUACAGUAGAAUUGGAAAUUAACUGAGACAGAAAAACUCUUUCUGGAGAAUGAUGAAUCACGUGAUCAUUUUGGUCAGAUCCUGAAUAGUGAAGAGGUGGAAAAAAUAGAACCCAGAUAUAUGUUUGCAGAUGGACACUUGUGAGAAGCUAUGGAGACCUGGAUCAUUCUCUUUCUCAUCUUUAAAGUCAAUAUAAUCUGUCAGUCCUGGAAAGGUAAAAGAUGAAGCAAGCACUCAUUGUCUUAAGAAUAUUUAGAGAAAGUGAUCUGGGGAGGCUCUGGACCAGGGAAUACAUUAAGAGCAAGAUGAUUGAGUAAGGACACCUCCACUUCUUUUAACCCCUUAGCUUGUAGAACACUUCUUGCCACAAAUGUAUAACCUGUGGAACAGGAAUGAAUAUAUUUGUAUAUGAUAAUUCUCUGUAAGUUGUCAAAUCUUGCUGAAAAGGCAUACCCUGGAGAAGUGACUUUUUUGCUUGCCUUGCAAUUCGCUGACUUAGAUGGGGAUUUACUAGAAGUUGUAAUUGGCUCUUCUGAUCGACAAUGA